UACGGAAGGUCCGGGCGUUAUCCGGAUUUAUUGGGUUUAAAGGGAGCGCAGGCGGGCGAUUAAGCGUGACGUGAAAUGUAGAUGCUCAACAUCUGAGUUGCGUCGCGAACUGGUUGUCUUGAGUGCAGUCGGCGCCGGUGGAAUUUGUGGUGUAGCGGUGAAAUGCUUAGAUAUCACGAAGAACUCCGAUCGCGAAGGCAGCUGGCGAGAGUGCAACUGACGCUAAUGCUCGAAAGUGCGGGUAUCGAACAGG
rnacentral:rRNA from 1 species